rnacentral:rRNA from 1 species
CCUACGGGUGGCAGCAGUGGGGGAUCUUGCACAAUGGGGGAAACCCUGAUGCAGCGACGCCGCGUGGGUGAAGAAGUAUUUCGGUAUGUACAGCCCUAUCAGCAGGGAAGAAAGAAGACGGUACCUGACUAAGAAGAUCCGGCUAACUACGGGUCAGCAGCCGCGGUAAUACGUCGGGGGCGAGCGUUAGCCGGAUUCACUGGGCGUAAAGGGAGCGUAGACGGCCGUGCAAGCCAGGAGUGAAAGCCCGGGGCACAACCCCGGAACUGCUCUUGGCACCGUGCGGCUAGAGUGCCGAAGGGGAGGGCGGAAUUCCAGGUGUAGCGGGGAAAUGCGUAGAUAUCAGGAGGAACACCGGCGGCGAAGGCGGCCUGCUGGACCGCGACUGACGUUGAGGUUCGAAAGCGUGGGGAGCGAACAGGAUUAGAUACCCCGGUAGUC